GGGGCCAUAGCUCAGUCGGUAGAGCGCAUGCAUGGCAUGCAUGAGGUCGGGGGUUCGAGUCCCCCUGGCUCCACCU
rnacentral:tRNA from 1 species